rnacentral:rRNA from 1 species
GGGCGUAAAGCGAGCGCAGGCGGAAAAAUAAGUCUAAUGUGAAAGCCCUCGGCUUAACCGAGGAACUGCAUCGGAAACUGUUUUUCUUGAGUGCAGAAGAGGAGAGUGGAACUCCAUGUGUAGCGGUGGAAUGCGUAGAUAUAUGGAAGAACACCAGUGGCGAAGGCGGCUCUCUGGUCUGCAACUGACGCUGAGGCUCGAAAGCAUGGGUAGCGAACAGGAUUAGAUACCCUGGUAGUCCAUGCCGUAAACGAUGAGUGCUAAGUGUUGGGAGGUUUCCGCCUCUCAGUGCUGCAGCUAACGCAUUAAGCACUCCGCCUGGGGAGUACGACCGCAAGGUUGAAACUCAAAGGAAUUGACGGGGGCCCGCACAAGCGGUGGAGCAUGUGGUUUAAUUCGAAGCAACGCGAAGAACCUUACCAGGUCUUGACAUCUAGUGCAAUCUGUAGAGAUACGGAGUUCCCUUCGGGGACGCUAAGACAGGUGGUGCAUGGCUGUCGUCAGCUCGUGUCGUGAGAUGUUGGGUUAAGUCCCGCAACGAGCGCAACCCUUGUUAUUAGUUGCCAGCAUUAAGUUGGGCACUCUAAUGAGACUGCCGGUGACAAACCGGAGGAAGGUGGGGAUGACGUCAAGUCAUCAUGCCCCUUAUGACCUGGGCUACACACGUGCUACAAUGGGCAGUACAACGAGAAGCAAGCCUGCGAAGGCAAGCGAAUCUCUGAAAGCUGUUCUCAGUUCGGACUGCAGUCUGCAACUCGACUGCACGAAGCUGGAAUCGCUAGUAAUCGUGGAUC